CCUGUAAGCAGGGAAGCUGGACUCUUUGGCUGCUGCUUUUUGUGUGCCCAGCCCCAUUUGCCCAGUCUGCCCGCCUCUGUGAUCCCCCGCAGCACUGGCUGGAAGUCCGCCGCGUGUCAGUGAGGAGCUGCUGCUGCUGCUGAAGGAAGAAGAAGAAGCAGCGGCGUGGGGACCUGGGAGGCAGGAGCAAGCAAGAAGAAGCGAAGCGGAAGCGUGCAGAUGUGGGGGGGAAGGAGAGAGGCUCCCUGGGCAAAGCACCUGUCCCGUUAGCAGGGGCACAGUCACGUUUGAGUUGAGAGCUGCCGGCGCCUUUGGUGACCAGGCUGGCGUUGUGCUGGGCGAC
rnacentral:lncRNA from 1 species